rnacentral:tRNA from 4 species
GGGCCGUUAGCUCAGUUGGUAGAGCACCGGACUUUUAAUCCGAGUGUCGCGGGUUCGAGCCCCGCACGGCCUA